GGCAUUCAAGGGUAGGAGGAAAAGCUGCCGACAAAAGUAAUAUUUUGAGGUUCAACUAACCAUAGCGAGUUUGAACCCAUUAUGCUUCCUCAAGUUUGCUUUCGGCCAAUACUCUCAAAGAAGGUAUCUCAACCUCAAUGGGAAUGAUUGCUUCCAUACCAUAAACCAGAGAAUACGGAGUUGCCCCAGUAGAGGUGCGGACAAAAAUGUGAUAUCCAUACAGAGCAAAAAAGAGCAUUUCAGGCUAAUCCUGGUAUAGGAAGCUACCUUAAUCAAUAACAACAAGGAUGAAACAAUGGCCUUUUGAUGCUUUUGGUUCAUUUCUCUUCUUUUUCAUUUUCAUUGUUUUGAUGGUAUCAUAAACAAGCUGAAUUAAAUGGGAACAUUGUGUUGCCCCUGUUUUGAGGGUGAGUCUUGUUUGAAGUAGUUGAAGAAAAUUUUCACUUUUAGGCUCAAAUUUGAGUGGCAAGUGAUGGUCAUACAUCAUUUCAAAUCUUGACUGCUUAUUUUUUAAAAGUUAAUCCUAAGACAAAACUUAAUGAACUCCAUGUUACUCCUUUUCUUUUUAUCUUUUUUUUUUGUUUGUCCUAACUUUUGCUUAGACCACCCUUUCGGGUUUUCAGUCUAACGGACUUUACAUUUUUUCACUUGUUUUUUUUUUUUUUUGCUCAUAGGACUUGUCUCCAUUAAAUGUAGUAGUUGGUGGGACAAAUACUCAUAAAAUGAUAAAUUUGCCCCAAUAAGAAAUCUUCAAAUUUCUAUUGUCAAACUUUCUAAUUGAGAAUCAUCCAACAGACUUGACUUUUAUGAGGACAAACUCUUUAUUUUUUGGAAGAAUAAUGAGGAAACUAUGAGAUGUAAUGGGACAAAGACAAUUUAUGACAAUGAAGAUAACAACACAAUUUGUUAUGCAAGUUAAUGAAAUUGAUACUUAAAGGGUUAACAAUGGUUUUCAAACCAUGUCAAUUGACAAGUUAAAUUUUCAAGGAGCUCAUCUUCUCGAUUGAGAAUUAAAUGUAAGUGAGAACAAUAAUUUCAUGUUAUUCCCCAUUUUUCUUUGUUUCCUGUUUUUUCUUUUUCUUUUAAGACAUUGCAUAAAUUUGUUGCUUGACAUCCUCUUUAAAAGAAAAUAAUCAUAUUAGAUAGUGUUUUUUUUGUAAAUGACAUGAAUGAGCAAUCACUUAGACCUUUAUUUUACUAUGAAAUGCAUGUAUAUAAAAAAUGUUGGAAUGAAGAAUUUGAAAUGAAAAAAAAAUGUUUUUUUUGCUUUUUUAUAUUUUUUUUAUAGAGAAACAAAUGCAUUUGAUUUGCGAUGAUAAAGUGAAAAUGAAUGCAAUUAUGGAGAAUGACAAGAAAAGACGAUAUGCCUAAUGAAUAUACCUAACAUGAUUAUUUAAUCUAAAUAAUGCUUAUGCGUGAAUGUCAUGAAAAAUUAUAAAAAUAUUGAAUGUUAUGAGAUACAUUUUAGACUAAAUGCUCAAAUGGAAUAAUGAUCUUACUUUGAAUUAUGCAAGAGAGAAUUGUAUUCAUUUUCUUUAAGAAAC